rnacentral:rRNA from 1 species
GUACGAGAGGACCGAGUCGGACAGACCUCUAGUGUACCUGUUGUGGCGCCAGCUGCAUCGCAGGGUAGCUAUGUCUGGAAGAGAUAAGCGCUGAAAGCAUAUAAGCGCGAAGCUCGCCCCAAGAUGAGAUUUCUUUUAAGGGUCGUUCUAGAUGAGGACGUUGAUAGGCUACAGGUGUAAAGGCAGUAAUGUCAUAGCCGAGUAGUACUAAUUACCCGUUAGCUUUCUAAU